rnacentral:siRNA from 1 species
AUCAGCCACCGCCGCCGCCACC